rnacentral:rRNA from 1 species
CAGCUUGCUGGGUGGAUCAGUGGCGAACGGGUGAGUAACACGUGAGCAACCUGCCCCUGACUCUGGGAUAAGCGCUGGAAACGGCGUCUAAUACUGGAUACGAGUAGCGACCGCAUGGUCAGUUACUGGAAAGAUUUAUUGGUUGGGGAUGGGCUCGCGGCCUAUCAGCUUGUUGGUGAGGUAAUGGCUCACCAAGGCGUCGACGGGUAGCCGGCCUGAGAGGGUGACCGGCCACACUGGGACUGAGACACGGCCCAGACUCCUACGGGAGGCAGCAGUGGGGAAUAUUGCACAAUGGGCGCAAGCCUGAUGCAGCAACGCCGCGUGAGGGAUGACGGCCUUCGGGUUGUAAACCUCUUUUAGCAGGGAAGAAGCGAAAGUGACGGUACCUGCAGAAAAAGCGCCGGCUAACUACGUGCCAGCAGCCGCGGUAAUACGUAGGGCGCAAGCGUUAUCCGGAAUUAUUGGGCGUAAAGAGCUCGUAGGCGGUUUGUCGCGUCUGCUGUGAAAUCCGGAGGCUCAACCUCCGGCCUGCAGUGGGUACGGGCAGACUAGAGUGCGGUAGGGGAGAUUGGAAUUCCUGGUGUAGCGGUGGAAUGCGCAGAUAUCAGGAGGAACACCGAUGGCGAAGGCAGAUCUCUGGGCCGUAACUGACGCUGAGGAGCGAAAGGGUGGGGAGCAAACAGGCUUAGAUACCCUGGUAGUCCACCCCGUAAACGUUGGGAACUAGUUGUGGGGUCCAUUCCACGGAUUCCGUGACGCAGCUAACGCAUUAAGUUCCCCGCCUGGGGAGUACGGCCGCAAGGCUAAAACUCAAAGGAAUUGACGGGGACCCGCACAAGCGGCGGAGCAUGCGGAUUAAUUCGAUGCAACGCGAAGAACCUUACCAAGGCUUGACAUAUACGAGAACGGGCCAGAAAUGGUCAACUCUUUGGACACUCGUAAACAGGUGGUGCAUGGUUGUCGUCAGCUCGUGUCGUGAGAUGUUGGGUUAAGUCCCGCAACGAGCGCAACCCUCGUUCUAUGUUGCCAGCACGUAAUGGUGGGAACUCAUGGGAUACUGCCGGGGUCAACUCGGAGGAAGGUGGGGAUGACGUCAAAUCAUCAUGCCCCUUAUUCUUGGGCUUC